AUUGAACGCUGGCGGCAUGCUUUACACAUGCAAGUCGAACGGUAACAGGUUAAGCCGACGAGUGGCGAACGGGUGAGUAAUGCAUCGGAACGUGCCCGAUCGUGGGGGAUAACGCAGCGAAAGCUGCGCUAAUACCGCAUACGAUCUGAGGAUGAAAGCGGGGGACCGUAAGGACUCGCGCGAUCGGAGCGGCCGAUGUCAGAUUAGGUAGUUGGUGGGGUAAAGGCUCACCAAGCCAACGAUCUGUAGCUGGUCUGAGAGGACGACCAGCCACACUGGGACUGAGACACGGCCCAGACUCCUACGGGAGGCAGCAGUGGGGAAUUUUGGACAAUGGGCGAAAGCCUGAUCCAGCAAUGCCGCGUGCAGGAAGAAGGCCUUCGGGUUGUAAACUGCUUUUGUACGGAGCGAAAAGGCUCUCUCUAAUACAGGGGGCUCAUGACGGUACCGUAAGAAUAAGCACCGGCUAACUACGUGCCAGCCGCCGCAGUAA
rnacentral:rRNA from 1 species